GUUGUCAUGGGUUCCGCUUCCCUCACGGAAGCGGGCGCUUUUUCUGGAUUCUAGCCUUCUGCCUUGUCUUCCAGCUCCGUGGGGCUAAGCAGUGCGAGGGCGUGGAGAACUCCACCAGGAUUGCCAGCCUGGCUCCAGCCGUGGAAAGCGUUGCCCAGUUCUCCUCCACCGCAUUCUCAUUGCUGCUUGCUCUUUCCGAGCACUUUCCUUCAUGCAACUUUGCAGAACUCAGUCUUAAAUCAGCCUAUAUAAAGAAAGAUAGAAGCCCUACCGGAAAAUCUUAUCUCUUUACACAGGCAAAAGACCCUGCAGGCAGUGCAUCUUGUGAUGGGAACCAAAACUACCCCCUCAAGCAAUACGGAUUGCCCUGAGGCAGCAAGAACCCCCCGCCGCCCCCCCACCAGAGAAUGAUCCACCUGGCCUUUUCUGCCCACCUGCAUGUAUCCACUGACCUUUGUCCUACAUUUGCUUUAUGUAAACCUAGAAUGUUGUCAGCACUUUGGAGACCGUCUUUGAGGCCACUAGUGUUGGCCUCAGUGAAAUAAAUCCCUUUU